ACGCUAGCGGCAGGCCUAAUACAUGCAAGUCGAACGGUAACAUUGGUGCUUGCACCAGAUGACGAGUGGCGCACGGGUGCGUAACGCGUAUGCAACCUACCUUUUACUAGAGUAUAGCCCAGAGAAAUUUGGAUUAAUCCUCUAUAAUAUCUUUUAAUCUCCUGAUUUUAAGAUUAAAGUUUUAACGGUAAAAGAUGGGCAUGCGUCCUAUUAGUUUGUAGGUGAGGUAACGGCUCACCUAGACUACGAUAGGUAGGGGCCCUGAGAGGGGGAUCCCCCACACUGGUACUGAGACACGGACCAGACUCCUACGGGAGGCAGCAGUAAGGAAUAUUGGACAAUGGACGAAAGUCUGAUCCAGCCAUGCCGCGUGCAGGAUGACAGCCCUACGGGUUGUAAACUGCUUUUAUACAGGAAGAAACACUCCGACGUGUCGGAG
rnacentral:rRNA from 1 species